rnacentral:rRNA from 1 species
CGAAUCAUUCACAAUGGGCGAAAGCCUGAUGGUGCGACGCCGCGUGGGGGACGAAGGUCUUCGGAUUGUAAACCCCUGUCACCGGGGACAAAAAGCAAAUGGCCAAUACCCAUUUGCCUGAUUUAACCCGGAGAGGAACCCGUGGCUAACUCUGUGCCAGCAGCCGCGGUAAUACAGAGACUGCAAGCGUUGUUCGGAUUUACUGGGCGUAAAGGGUGCGCAGGCGGCCGGGUGUGUCGGGUGUGAAAUUUCGAGGCUCAACCUCGAGACUGCGCCCGAAACUAUCCGGCUAGAGUACUGGAGAGGGAAGCGGAAUUCACGGUGUAGCAGUGAAAUGCGUAGAUAUCGUGAGGAACACCAAUGGCGAAGGCAGCUUCCUGGACAGUUACUGACGCUCAGGCACGAAAGCGUGGGGAGCA